AUCUGGAAAACCUGCUGGAUUAUGGCUUGAGACUCAUGAGAAAUCCUGGAGGCAAGUGCUCAAUGUACCUUUCCGGAGAGAAUACACAGUGACCAGGUGCUGAACCUGCUGGUGAAGGUGGUGCAGCUUCCCAAGCCACAUCCAGGACGGAGCCUCUGGGAGAUGCUGAGGAAGUGAUGGACCAAACAUCUGUGCAGAAGGAGGCACAUCCUGGAGGAAGCAUUUUCCCAUGGGGAACCCCUGCUGCAGGGAGGAAGGCGAUGCCAGACACGGGCACAGGCACAGCA